GCAAUGAUGCUGUCAGUGGAACAGGCGACUAUACAUACAGAACAUGUAGCAGUCCGUUGAUGUCAGUCUAAAGCUGGGUGUACUGGAGCUCCACUAAGUCGGGGCUCGCGUCUGCGGCUGGAUCCUUAAAGUAGAGUGUGGCAGUGUCUUCCCCCCGCUGGCCCGUCCUCCGGGCCCUGUGCUCGGUCACCUCUUUGGGCUGCUCCUGGCGGCAGCGGUUGCUGUUCCACCAAGCCUCCAGCCCGGCCACCAGGCAGGCCAGCAGCAGGCCGGCAGCAAGGAUGCAGAAGAUGCCGGCGAAGCUGUGCAGCUUGAGGGAACGGCCGUCAGGAUGCGCGCUGGCGUGGCUGUUGAGGUCGCAGCGGCCGGUGCGAGGCCACCACUUCUGCUUCAUGAUGUCCAGGUCGCCUUUCUCCUGUAGCUCCAAGAUCCUGAAGAGGGACAGAUGGACAGGGCAGCAGACCUGACUGACUGCAAUCAUUGGUAUUGGACACAUCUUGCAGUACCCUGGCAGACCUCCUCACCAGAUCAGACCAGAGUUGUCUUUAUUUCUUGUCUAUUGUCUUCACAGCACAGCACCCAAACAUGCCUACAAUACCUACUCUUUUGGUUAA